rnacentral:lncRNA from 1 species
GUAGGACGAUCAAUUGUUUUUCUUCUGUUCUUAAUGCAUUAUUAAUUGUUAGGGGAGGCUAGGGAUAGCAAGCCGGCAAUUAGUAAUAGGCUCUUUUCGCCGAGGGAUCGAGUUAAGGGUAGGCCAAGAAAGUUUGCAUAACAAUUAGACAAUCAAGCACAUUAAACAAGAGGAGUAGAUAAGAGGAAGCGAAUAAGAUGAAAUUGUCAACCCCUAACAACUUCAUUCAUCCAUAGUCUUUUUCGUCAAUUGAAUAAACCACAUUGCAUGUUUAUUUUCUGUCUUUGCAUUCACAACAAUUAAUUCUUUCUUUACAAGUCUUACGAUUUUGAUUCACACGAACGAUAAACGCCUUUCGAGUCUCUUGGGAAGAACGAUAUCAGGCAUUACCGAUUAUAUUACUUGCACGAUCUAGUACACAUGCCAGUGAGUUAACAAGUUUUUGGCGCCGUUGCCGAGGACUCGAGGUUAUUUUUAGUAGUGUGAAUUAUUUGACAUUUGACUUGUUUGUAAUUAUUUGUUUUUAUUCUGUUCUGUUUAAUUUUGUUUAAUUUUCUGUAAAAGUGCUUUUAGGGUGUGUUUCUUGUGUAUGCAGGAAACAAUACACAC